GCUUGUCUCAAAGAUUAAGCCAUGCAUGUCUCAGUAUAAGCUUGUGCAUAGUGAAACUGCGAACGGCUCAUUAUAACAGUUAUAAUUUGUUUGGUGUUCAAGUUUACAUGGGUAACUGUGGCAAUUCUAGAGCUAAUACAUGCUGUUUUGCCUGACUCUGUGGUAAGGCUGUGCUUAUUAGUACCAGAACCAACCCAAGUUCUGCUUGGUUGCAUCCUGAUUCAUGGUAACCGAACGAAUCGCACGGCACCAGCUGGCGAUGGACCAUUUCAGUUUCUGACCUAUCAGCUUCCGACGGUAGGAUAUGGGCCUACCGUGGCAAUGACGGGUAACGGAGAAUUAGGGUUCGAUUCCGGAGAGGGAGCCUGAGAAACGGCUACCACAUCUAAGGAAGGCAGCAGG
rnacentral:rRNA from 1 species